AAAAAAAUUGUAAUCAUGGAUUUAAACUUAGUGUUGCAGGAAAAAAUAUUACAUACACAUUUUUCCCACAUAAGUCAAUAGAAAAUAAUGAUUUAUUUAACUUAAAAUAGUGGUACGAUGGAAAGGUGAGUGAGAGAUGGUGUGUUAGCAGUAUAAGAAAGAUAAACCUUUAUCACAAUGGCAAAUUAAUAAUGUCUAACAUUUAAAAGGUUAAGAUGCAAAAAUAAAGCAUGAUAUUUAGAAAAAUAGAGGAUACCAGCAGAAGACAGAGCCUAGGGAGUAAGAAAAAUCACGACCAGAAACCAGGCCUAGAGGUGAUGAGAGAUACACAGAAGUCAUUUUGAGACUUCUGAUACUUUUGAUUUUUUUUCCCCUUUGAUUAAAGAAACCAAAUUAUGUAAAUUUAAAAUAAAUGUAUUUAUGUAAACUGAAAAAGAAUGAUAAUGUAUCUUUCAGAUGAACAACACUACUUAGAGGUAUUAUCUGAUUGGCUUUUGAAUAGUAAUUUAAUUAGAUGUAAAUAUAAUCCAAAAGAGAGAGCAGGGAAUAAUUCAAUGAUUUACUAGUAAUUAGUUUCACUUUUUACUGAACUAUCAACUCUUUGAAGGCAGUGGAAAUCUGUUUUAUGAACAAACUAGACUUGUUUGGGUACAAAUGAGUAAACGACCUAUCUUUCACUGGUCUUUGCCCUUCCCCUAUGAUGUCUGAGCUAGAUGUCUCAUACAAACAAGUUUCUGCUGAGUCAAUCUCUUCCCUUUUCUUUCUUUCCCAUCCUCCCUCCCUUCUUUCCUUUCUUCUCUCCUCCUCAACCUCUUCCUCUUCCUUUUUUCCCUCCUCAUUCUUCUACUACCUCCUCUUCUCUCCCUUUUCUCUUUUCUUUGUUAAAUGAGUCCUGUGCACAUCAGUAUUUCUCAUUGAUUCUUGAAAGCUCCUGUAUAAGCUCAUGAAAAAUAGUUUAAUGAUCAACCUGGACUUAAUAGAAGUGAAACUGUAGAACACAUUGACUUUUUCCUCAAUGAUAUUCCAAAGAUGGUAUCUUUGAUGAUCUUAUAGAUUUUUCAGUCACUUCCAUGUGUUCAUGUAGAGUCUUGGGUCCAGAUUUUUAAAGUUUAUUUAGCUAUAAUAGAAAAAAAAAUGUAACCUCAUUUAUCUUGAAGCUUUCCCCUGCCCUCUCAGCUCCCAGUCUGACAUAGGAAUAGAAGUCUACAGUAGGGAAGGGACUAUGGCUUGACAUUUCAGCUACUACUCCUGGUUCUUUCAUUUCCUGUCCUUCGUGCUGCUGGUCCUGGCUCCUCCAGGAUUGGAUGAAAGGGAAGAAAGAUGGGAAAGCAAAAUCUCAGAUGGCUGGUGUUGUCUGCAUCUCUCUCCCUUGGUUCCCAAAUGCCCUUGGUCAUGGUAAACAUCCAAGGCUGGCUCUUUCUCUCAUAACAAGCAUUUCUUCUUCUUGUGAGAGGACUCUAUCUCCCCUACUGGCUUUGAAACUGGUUGCUAUGUUGUGAGCUGCCUGUGGAAAGGGCCAUGUGGCAAAGGGCUGAAAGCAGCCCCCGGCUAACAGUCAGCAAGAAACUGACACUCACGAGGAACUUGAAGCUGCCCACCACCAUGUGAGGUUGGAAGUGGAUCCUUGCCCAGUCGAGCCCCAGAUGAGACCACAGCCCCAACCAGCUCCUCAAUUGCAGCCUUGCAGAGCACACAGUUCAGCCAUGCCUGGACUUGUGACCCACGGAAACUGUGAGUUGUUUCCAAAGUUUAUAUUUCUAUUUUUUCACAGUGAUAGGUAACUAAUAACUCAUACAGAUUCCUUCAGAAAUCCUCCCCCUUGAAAUUUCCUGUCAGACCCUGACUAAUGUCUUAUUACUUAGCCUUCUGCGGCUCAUCUCUCACACCCCGUUUCUGCUGGGAUCACCCAACUCCUUGGCACACAUCUUGGAUAGUGUAUCUUUCAAGGUCAAGCAAGCCCAGCUAACUUCUGUGGGGUCUGCUCUUUUCCACAGGUAAAUGCAUCACUGGAAAGGCAUUUUGCUUUCACUACAGGCUCUCUACUUACUCUGCUAGAAGGACAACUCCAGCUAGUCUCUUAUCUUCGGAAUUUCUCCAACCCUGAGAGGCAGUCAAGGAUCUGAGAGGUUAAAUAAUUUGCCUAAGAUCCCACAGUUAGUAAGAGGUAGAGCUGGGAUGCAAAUCUACAAACACCCAAAACCAGAAUCUGCAGUCUACUUACUACAUGUACUGUCUGGAAAAUCCUGGAAUGGGAGCCAGUCCUCAGAAAUCUCAUCAGACAGAGGACCGCUGCGUGUGGCUGGCUCUUUCCAGCAGGAGGUCAGAGGCACAGACAGGUUGAUGAUGAAUGUGUAACUUACAUUUCUGAUCUAUGAAGCAGAUGAUGGUGGUAUCAGUGACCAUAUGAAGACCAGAAGACACAAGUCUGCUAAGGACACGUCAUCAUCUUUUUAAAAAUUAGUUAUUUUAGACUAACAAGUUAUCACAGGCACUGCAGAAGAUCUGUUUAUAUGUCUCUUUGAGAAGCACAACUUU